CUUAUCGGCUCCAGGCGCUGCUGGAGCGAGCGAGAGGGAAGGCGGCAAUGCGAAAGAAAGCUGGAGGGAGGGCUGAAAGGGGGCAGAGAGACGGCGGAAAAUGGAGCGUAGCCCAGAAGAGGGGAUUGAAGCACCAAGCUAUUGCAAAUUAGAGUCUAAGUAGUAACUGCAACUUGAGAAGAAUGGAACCAUAAUUCAUCUAGAUUGUGAUAGCUCCAGAGUGUGGUAUUUCUCUGCUGUCUUGAUCCUAUUUCUCAAAGAAAGAAUUUAUGCUUCACUUGAAUCUUGUCCAUUUUGCAAACCUGGAGGUGUGGUCCAGAGGAUUUUCCCACAGAGCAAAGAGAGACAUUUACAAUACUAUUUGAUCUUCAUGUCAAGAGAAAGAAAAGAAGGCAGAAGAAUUGACAGCUUGAUCCUUGUCUUCUUAUGAAACCCCAGCUUUUAGAUUUUGACCUCUUCUAGCAGUGCUACUCUAAUAGCAGAUACGUAAUAGGUCUUGUUUGGACUUGAGCUUGAUUGUAACCCUCACAUCCAAAGAUCUAGAUAGAGUACCAGGCAUACUUCACAGCAGACUUUUGAACACUGGAAGACAAGUAGCUGUGACUCUGCUGAUCCAAAGAUUGUCAGCCCAGUCAUAAAAACAGUACAGAUAUUAUCAAACCGGACAAAAAAAAACCCCUGAUAAGUGCUUCUACAUGACUCUUGAAACCCACUGUAGAUAGUCCAGUACUUCUGUGCAGAAUUAGCUUCUAUCAUAAAAAUCUUAUUAAUUCAGGUGAAUUGAUUAGAACCUUGCCAGUAGAGCACAGUGGAGAUCCACUGGUAAACCAGUGGAGACUGGUUGAAGACUUCUCUGAAAACUACCUUGUAAGACCUAUCUAAGAGAACAAGUUUUGAGGAUGCUAAGGUCUCUUUGUCUUGACACAGAGACGUAGGUUCACUUAACAUUAGUAGAAAUACUUAGCAGUAAUAAAAUCUAGAUCUCCCAUAAUGACAUAUUCUCAAGCUUGAAAAUUUUUUUUCAAAUUUCUUGGUAUUUCAUGCAUGUCCUCCUCCAUUGUAAAAUUACUCUAAGAACAGCAACAGCUCUGCAUUUUCUUGCUUUGCAUCUUCAGAGAGUCUUUGAUGAAAGCUGUUAUAUAGGCAUAAAUGUAGCUGUCUGUUUGUUCUAGUAAAAGCAGGGAAUCAAAUUGAAGUCUUUUGCACUGUCUUGCAGACCACUAACCACAGUAAAGAUACUUGGCUGGCCUAGAAGUAACAUGUGAUACUGCAGUCAUAUCCAGACUGGGGAUUUUUUAAAAUUAUUAUAUCCUCAGGAAGCAAUAAUUUUAGAACUGAGGGCAGGAUGAUUGUUUUGUUUUCUUGUAAAUCUUUCAAUAUGCUAAUUUUGAUUACAGUAUGAAAUUAGAGAUCUGUCCAUUUUAUAUCACAGACACAAAUUAGAAAUUUGUGAACCUUAAAGGACUGUCUGUUAAUAGAAAACUAUUUUUUUGCAUAAAACAAAUAGUGGUUUAUGGAAAUUUUGUGUUAAUAAUAAAAGUCAAACAGCAGGAUCAGACCUCUUUAAGGCAAAGGAUACCCAAAGAUACAAGCAUUUGCAAAGCUGCAAAGCUUUGAAGUAUAGUAGAUGAAAUUAAUUUGUCUCAUAUAAACAGUACUAGGUAUCUGAAUUUUUCUUUUAAAAACUGCUUAGCAUAUAAAAUUGGCUAUAAUAUCCUUUGUUAAUAGAGAGGCUCAAGAAUAAAUGCUUUCAAGUCAUGCAGGGAACCUAAACAAACUCUGCACAAAGGGAAGCUUGGUUCGGUAGAACAAACCUGUUAGGUAGGUCAAGAGUAUUAAAUAAAUUCUCCUUCUUCUUUAAAGCAGAACUCAGGCACCAGGGCAUACAAGGAAUGGGCAUACAAGGAAUGGGCAUACUUCAUCCCUGCUUGGAAAUUUGUGAUGGUGUUCAUGUAUCUCUAGAACUUCCCUCAAUCAUCUGUCAUUAAUAUCAGUUCUACUGGCAGUCAGGUUUCCAUGCUGAGAGCUAGGAAGGAAAAUAUUUAUGAUGAAAGAGACAUACAGCUGCUAUUACUGAUCCUGAAGAGUUUAUUUUGGACAGCUUAGAUUAUGACUUUCUUUUAUUUUUUCUCACUUUUGGGUAAAGUCUUGGGUGUGUGCUUGAAAAAACAAGCGUCCAGUGAGGGUAGAGAAUGCCCAGUUAUUAUCUAUUCCGCCUGCUGUUUAGGCAAUGUAGUAUAGGUGGGAUAAACAGCAAGAUUGAAAACAAUGUUACUGUGUUUUUUAUUGUGACUUUAGACAAAUAGGCAUAUUUUCUUUGAUUUCCACAAAAUCUUUAGUGUAAGGCUCUUUAGUCAGGCAUGAUGUAGGGCACUACCUUGAAAUUCCAAACAAGUCAAUCUAUAUUUUAAAACAAAUUGCAGACAUUUGCUACAUAUUUUGACUGUCUUAGUUUUUGUGGUAUUUUAAAAUAAAUUCUGCCUUCGAUUUCCCUAAAUAACAUUGAUAUAAGGUCAAAAAAGUGGAAAUUGAUAAUAUUCAACAUUUUUUGGAAAAGUGCAUGAAAGUACCUGCUUUCAGUUCUCUGAGAAUGAGCUAUUAGCCCAUCUCAGGACGUAGUUUACUACUCAGGCACUUCAGGGAAGUUAAUGUUGAUAUUGUUGAUAUUAUGUUGAUCAACCACAAAAAGUGGUUGAUCAACCAUUGAAAGUGUAUAAAAGUAUAUUGAUGUUUAAAGAACACCUGUGUACACCACUGAACUCUCAAUACUUAGGAACACUGACAGCUGUCCUUCUAGACAGCUUAAAUGACUCAGGCACUUAGUUUCAUCCUUCAGCAGUUUCCUUGGUAAGUGUGGAAUUGUUCAGAAUUAUUUGUCCCAAUGUAUUUUGUUUCCAGUACUGAUCUAGUACUUCCCAGUGACUUAUUUAAUGAUGCACUUUCUCUCCUGGUUCUAGAUGGGUCAUUUCCUCCUGUUUUCCUUGGCUUCUGCUUUUCCAGUCACCAUAGGCAGCUGUAUUCUCAAAUUCCCUGCACUUCUCUUGCUAUGUUAGGUGGAAUGAUCUCCAAAAACUAGUAGUAUUGAGAACAACUUCUCUUACAACCCUCAAGCCACAUAUCUUUCUCUCUCCUCCCUUCUAUUCUGAGAUACAAUUUCUUCAAUUAAUUAAAAAUAAGGAAGAAAAUGGAGUAUUUAGACUAAAGAAAAUAAAUAUGGAAAUAUAUAAUUUACUACAUUCAUUUUCCACAUAAUUUAUAUAACAUAUAUGACAUUAGCAAAUAUACUCCUUACCUUGGAAUGCCUUUUAUUAGUAGGAAGUAUGUCUUCUGGAUCAAAGAUACCAUCAAUUGAACAUAUAUUAUAAAUUCUUUGUAUCAACAAAAUACUUCUCAAGAUGGCACUUGUUUUUAUUGAAAAAUAUUUUUUUUACUACUAGAGAUAAAAAUCUGAAAAUACUAGAAGCUGUUACUCUAGAGGAAUAAUGUCUGUUGGGGCACUCACAGGGAUUCUUCAGAGAAUUUGGUUCAAUUCUGUUUCCUACUCUUUUUUGUGUGACCUAAGCAAAUGCAGCUCUUUGUAGUUCAGUUCCACCUGUGUCAAAUGGGUAUUACAAGAAGUUUCCAACUUACAGGCAUAGAUGUAUGGUCAGAUAAAGUUAGGAGAUUAAGACAGCGAUCAUUACUAACACUCUACCGGGAUGUAGAAGCUUUUGACAAAACAAAAAACUUUUCCUCUGUAUAAAAUACCAAGCUAUCUUGAGAUUGUGGAAUUCUGUGCAAAACUUAAUGAUUUCUGCUUCAAAUACAAGGUACAUUUCCUAUCUUUGUUAUAUCUCCUGUAAACAUACAGGAGGGAAAAAAUUUUUAAAAGUUCUAGAAAUAUCCAAAACACUCCAAUUUACGCACUUCUGCUGUUAGGAGGAGCACAGCAAAGAUACAAAUUGUGUGGCAAAGGCACUGCUGAGAUGCAAUGGUGAGAGGAGUAAGGAAAAAGCUCAGUGUACAGAAUGCAUUUAAUGUAUCAUGGCAAAGGCAGGCCAGUGGAGAUUAUGAUGCAAUGCAAACUAAUCAUGCUGGUCAUAAAGGAAAAUAAAUCUGAUGUCUAAAGCAUACAAGGAAGUGUAAGAGCUUGCAGGGCAAAGCAAACAGGAAUAGACAACAGAAGAGGAUGUACAGUCUCUUGCUUCUUCCUACCUUUCUUUUUCAUGUAAUUUUUCCAAGUAAAAGGAAAAAUCUGAUCACUUUAUUUCUAUCAUAGUAACUUAAUCCUUUUCCACAAUGCAACUUACACAUUUUCUUUCCUGGUUUGAGGCAUUUAUUUAACUGUCUUUCAAAUCUUCUGCAGAGGCUUUUACAGUAUGUCUUGUUUUUCCCUGUAAUAUUAUUUGCUUGCCCUCAGACAUCUUUUUUACCUUUUCUUCCAAGCCAAUCUUUGAUGCUUUUAAAUUUCAUUUACACUUAGAUCUUUAUGUUGAAGAAAUAUUUCCCCUAAAAUUUUACCACUAUCAAAAAGUAUACUAAAUACAACAUAGAUACUAGGCAAAAGCAAUUGAAUUAUUUUGCAUUGAUGAACUAGCAUGCGCAAUGCUACAAGUUGCAUCAUGUAGUAAAAUAAAAUGGUCAUGAUGUCUAAGAAAGUUUUUCAUUUUCUGUGUGGAUGCUUUUCUUCAUUCCCUAAAAAGAAUGCAAAAAAAAAAAAAAAAACCCUAUUUAAAUCAAACCAGGAAAUAUUUGCCUUUCCAGAGUUUGGGAGCAAAAAAGGCUCCCAAUCAAUUUGCUAUCUACUCUAGGUCCAUUUCCUUUAUAUUACUUCAGAAUAUGACCAGUGAUCAAAAGACUUCGGAACAACAGAAAGGUUUAUAAAAACUCCCUCCCUCCCUUCCUCCCUUCCAGUAUAAAGGUGUUCAAUUUAGGGGAAAAUCUGCAAGGUAGCAGAUUACAAGUGGUUGGAGAAAUAUGGAUAGAAAAGCAGAAAAUCUGAAGCAAAUGACAUGACAAAUUUCAAUGGGGAUGUAGAAGAGAAGAUGAAUCCAUCAGGAAUAAUGUCACGUGGCACAAAUAGACAGAAGUCAGAGAGAAGAGAGAGGCAUUUAGUUAACUGCUGAGAGACUGAUACUAGCAGAAAAAAAGAUCAUGUUAGGAUUACUUGUAGGGUCACUGAUUAUGGAAAACAUUUGGAGAGAAUCCACAUGCUGAAACAUUUAGUCUGCUAGAAGUCCUAGAAAUUUUUAGUCUAUGUUUCAAAGAAGCCAUUUUCAUAGAUUUUAUGUACCCAUUAAAUAUCAGAGGAAAGAUAACAUGAAGAGACCAAAGAG